rnacentral:rRNA from 1 species
AGUGAACGCUGGCGGUAGGCCUAACACAUGCAAGUCGAACGGCAGCACAGUAAGAGCUUGCUCUUACGGGUGGCGAGUGGCGGACGGGUGAGGAAUACAUCGGAAUCUACUUUUUCGUGGGGGAUAACGUAGGGAAACUUACGCUAAUACCGCAUACGACCUACGGGUGAAAGCAGGGGAUCUUCGGACCUUGCGCGAUUGAAUGGGCCGAUGUCGGAUUAGCUAGUUGGCGGGGUAAAGGCCCACCAAGGCGACGAUCCGUAGCUGGUCUGAGAGGAUGAUCAGCCACACUGGAACUGAGACACGGUCCAGACUCCUACGGGAGGCAGCAGUGGGGAAUAUUGGACAAUGGGCGCAAGCCUGAUCCAGCCAUACCGCGUGGGUGAAGAAGGCCUUCGGGUUGUAAAGCCCUUUUGUUGGGAAAGAAAAGCAGCAGGUUAAUACCCCGCUGUUCUGACGGUACCCAAAGAAUAAGCACUGGCUAACUUCGUG